GUAAAUGUAAUGAUGAGGACAAUAGUAUUUCUUCACGGUUAUCAGAGAGGGAGGACAUGGCUGCAAGCCUCCUAGCACGGACUAAAUACUUACCGCCUUUAAACUUCAGCUGUGAACCCUUCUUUACCGAAGCUAGUAAUCGCUGACGGCGCCAACCGUUACCCAAACAAUAAAGUUAUUUCUAUUUUUUCAUAGAGAUAAAAAAUUGGGUGGAACCACGUGUUUAUUAAACUCGUCCCUUUU
rnacentral:ncRNA from 1 species